CAGGAAAUAGUUUAUUUAAAAUAUUAGUUUUGGAGACUAAUGAAGAAAAUUAUUUCUUUUCUGA
rnacentral:tRNA from 1 species